ACCCGGAGUGUCCUGUCCGUCCGUCCGUCCGCACUCUCAGCCACAAGAGUUAGGGGCGGCGGGGAAGGUCAGCCCGCAGCCACUACCGGCCCCUCGGAAGUCUGGCACCCCCACUUUCCCAGGCCAGCCACUCCCGGCUCAGGCCGCGGGGCUCUGUUUUAGAAUGAUCACCGAGAGAUGGAGAGUCACAGGACUGUCCCUGGGAUGUGCUACGGCUGGGAAGGGGAGAGCCAGCGUGAGACUUUUGCCUGUAUCAGCAUAAUGAGGAUAAUGACUGACCCCCUUUCUCCUUUCCUCUCCCUACAAGCCAGGUUUAUAACCGAUACUGUGAUUUAUAAUAAAUAUUUGGUCUCCAUCCCUGUUCCUGA